rnacentral:rRNA from 1 species
GAUCAACGCUGGCGGCGUGCCUAACACAUGCAAGUCGAACGAGAAAGUGGAGCAAUCCAUGAGUAAAGUGGCGACCGGGUGAGUAACACGUGACUAACCUACCCUAAAGUAGGGAAUAACCUCGGGAAACCGGGGCUAAUACCGCAUAACAUUGCGCGGCUGAAAGGCCAUGCAUUCAAAGGAGCAAUUCGCUUUAGGAGGGGGUC